rnacentral:piRNA from 1 species
UGCCAGCCCCAUCACCAGCGUGGGAACUCCA